CUGUGAGACCUUUAGUAGCAACUGCUCUUGUGGAAUGCGUGAUCCGCAAACUAGGCAUAUAGAUAUUUGGAUAUCCAAUGCCACAAACCGAACUAUAGACGGAAAGAGGAAGGAACUGCAUCGCCAUUGAGCUAUGGUUUGGAAUGUUUCACUGUGAAGAGGGAAAGACAUGCCAAGAAAUUAAGAUCGAAGGAUAAAAACAAAUGGGAGAAAAGUGAAACAAAAAAGUAGGAGAAAGAAAGCAUAAGUGAAUUUGUUUUCCCCUUGGCACCUCGUAUAACAUAAUCCUGGCUCUGCCCCUAAUCAUGCCAUUAAAGUUGGCCAUUUUGUCCGCUUGAUACAGAUACAAGAGACAUUCAAAACAGAUGUUUCUUUGCUUUUAGUUUUAUCAAAUGUUGUAGAUCAAACAGGACCCAUGCACACCGUGCCUAUCAUGAAAUUUGCACUGGUACGAUUGAAGGUUCAAUAGUACCACAAGAAUCUUAGCUCAACACUCUCUAGAUACCUAUUUGUGUGUUUGUGUGCCUGGUUGGCUCAAUCGCCCUUAAAAGGUGAGAAACUCUAUACUUUAAAAGGUGAGAAACUAUGCAUACCCUCUUGAGAGCUUGAAACUUGCUCGCAUGCCCCUUUAUGACAACCUAAUUUGGCUUUAGCAAGGAUUCUAAUAUCUAUGAACAAUCAAACAUAGCGAGACAGGGUGAAAAAUGAAAGAGAAGCAUUACCAACGUACGGCGAAUGGACACAGAUCAGAGACGGCACCAAGGAGAACCAAGAGAGAGAACGAUGAAGCUACGGUGGGGAAGGGAGAAACAACGUAAAUAAAUAGGCGGGAACACUCAGCAUGACCGCAUCCGAAUGCUAGGGCCCAGUUUGUACGAAUC
rnacentral:lncRNA from 1 species